CCUACGGGAGGCAGCAGUGGGGAAUAUUGCACAAUGGGGGAAACCCUGAUGCAGCGACGCCGCGUGAGUGAAGAAGUAUUUCGGUAUGUAAACCUCUAUCAACAGGGAAGAAAAUGACGGUGUCUGCCUUAGAAGCCCCGGCUAACUACGUGCCAGCAGCCGCGGUAAUACGUAGGGGGCAAGCGCUUUCCGGAUUUACUGGGUGUAAAGGGAGCGUAGACGGGAGGGCAAGUCUGAAGUGAAAUACCGGGGUGUAACCCCGGAACUGCUUUGGAAACAGUGCAGCUAGAGUGCAGGAGAGGUAAGUGGAAUUCCUUGUGUAGCGGUGAAAUGCGUAGAUAUUAGGAGGAACACCAGUGGCGAAGGCGGAUGACUGGACUGUAACUGACGGUGAGGCGCGAAAGCGUGGGGAGCAAACAGGAUUAGAUACCCUGGUAGUC
rnacentral:rRNA from 1 species